CGGGCUGGAGGUACGCCGGAAGUGCCCGUGAGCCUCUCCUACCUCACGAGUCAGUGGCUCGCACCGCGUCCCCCUGAAAAACAGCGGUGGGUGAUGUUAUUACUGAGUUCAAGGUCUCACCAGGCGGAAACUGGCCAAGCUCGCCGAGGACCCUGCCAGCCGCCAAAGUGAGCAACCAUGGAGAAUGAGGGAGCAUCUCUUUUUGGACAAAAAUCAGACAUCCUUUUAUUUACUAUAAAAGUGGUGAAUCUAAGAUAAAAUGAAUUCCAGCAGACUUGAAAUAUCCAGAUGAUGAUUUAAAUUGCUAAAAGG